GCCUGGGAUAGCUCAAUUGGUAAAGCGUGAGACUCUUAAUCUCAAGGUCGUGGGUUCGAGCCCCACGUUGGGCA